AAACCAGCCAAUUAAUCUGCUUAUCUGAAUGUGUUUAAUGUGCAGAAAUUUAGAAAAAGCUGGCAACAGUGAUGUCAUUUUAUGAGUCAUAAGGAUAACUGUGGUCAUGAAGUUCCCUGAAUAUGGCUACAAUA
ensembl:snoRNA